GACAAAUGCAUGAGCUGAAAAGAAGGAAAAAGAAUACAUAAAGUUGCAGGUAGGAUAUCUUUCGAUUUUUUUAUUCAAGGGAGAGGGGUAUUUAGGUAAUUGGUGCUUUAUGGCUAGGGACUUAACUUCACUGAUGAAUAAUUGCUUUAAGAGAGGUUAAAUCAAGUGUUGAUGUAGAAGAAGAAGGAAUCUAGGUCAGGCAUGAAAAUAAUGAAUUUGCUGAAUGUAUCAACUGUUCAUAUAGUUUUAACUUUAUUCAGAAGCUUGCCAAUUCCAUUGUAAUUUGGUAUUUAUGUUAUUUGAAAAACAGAAGGAAGGGCGACAACGUGGAACAUGGAUUGGGAAGAAGGCUGCCAAUGAUUUUCAUAGUAAAAUCGUAUGAAGAUUAAUAAGCUUUUCCCCAUGUGAUUAUUAACUCUUUCUGUUCUGGAGACAACUUCAUCUUUUUUGCAAUGUAUUUAUAACAUUGAAAAGGUGGACACUUAUGAAGCAAAAAAACAAGAACUGAU
rnacentral:lncRNA from 1 species